rnacentral:rRNA from 1 species
UUUGAUCAUGGCUCAGAUUGAACGCUGGCGGCAGGCUUAACACAUGCAAGUCGAGCGGGGGAGGUUGCUUCGGUAACUGACCUAGCGGCGGACGGGUGAGUAAUACUUAGGAAUCUGCCUAUUAAUGGGGGACAACAUCUCGAAAGGGAUGCUAAUACCGCAUACGCCCUACGGGGGAAAGCAGGGGAUCACUUGUGACCUUGCGUUAAUAGAUGAGCCUAAGUCGGAUUAGCUAGUUGGUGGGGUAAAGGCCUACCAAGGCGACGAUCUGUAGCGGGUCUGAGAGGAUGAUCCGCCACACUGGGACUGAGACACGGCCCAGACUCCUACGGGAGGCAGCAGUGGGGAAUAUUGGACAAUGGGGGGAACCCUGAUCCAGCCAUGCCGCGUGUGUGAAGAAGGCCUUAUGGUUGUAAAGCACUUUGAGCGAGGAGGAGGCUCUCUUGGUUAAUACCCAAGAAGAGUGGACGUUACUCGCAGAAUAAGCACCGGCUAACUCUGUGCCAGCAGCCGCGGUAAUACAGAGGGUGCGAGCGUUAAUCGGAUUUACUGGGCGUAAAGCGUGCGUAGGCGGCUUUUUAAGUCGGAUGUGAAAUCCCCGAGCUUAACUUGGGAAUUGCAUUCGAUACUGGGAAGCUAGAGUAUGGGAGAGGAUGGUAGAAUUCCAGGUGUAGCGGUGAAAUGCGUAGAGAUCUGGAGGAAUACCGAUGGCGAAGGCAGCCAUCUGGCC